AAUGUCUUACAAGUCCCAGUCUACAUAGCCUCAAUUUAAAAAGUUAGUAUUUUUUCCAAAUUCCAAUUUCUAAUGACAUUUACUGUUAUCACCCUAUGUUUCACGUAAAACACAAACUACGCACUAUUUUGAUCACCCCUUAAAUAACUUUUUAACACAAAGACAUACACUGGUUUCACUUCAUCCCUGCCUACAGAAAUCCUGCUUCGGCCCAAAAUUGCUGUUUUCUCUAUGGAUGUCACCAUCACCAUCAGCUGCUCUGUCAUCUUCACUGGCCCCAACCAGAGCCACACCCAACCAGCUGUCAAUCACACUGCCUACUUCAGGAGUAACCGUUGCAAGGCAGUGCGGGGGGACCUGCCAGAUCCAGAUGUCCUGAAAGUGGCGGAGGUCUAAAAGGACUUCAUGGCAGACAUUGCUCCACCCAUCACAACCAUGGCAAUAAGUGGGGAUGUGCUGCUUGUGGACUCCUCUUUUGGAGUGGUACAAGAAGGGAGUCCCAUCUCGUACCAGCAUGCAUUGCCAGUGAGUGAGGUUGUAAUGUGCCAUCCAGAUGUCCCCCCUCCACCACUUUCGCCAUUAGAUGGCUACAGGCUGGAUCCAUCCUCCUGCCAGUUUCUGUGUAGCCAUCAGCAACUGCAUAUGCGAUCAAUUGCAACAUCAUUUGAUAUGGCGUAGAAAAUAGAGGCGGCCACUACAAAGCAGAGCGACAGUGUGGAGUGGCACAGGGUCCGAAGCCUAAGGAUCACUUCUUGCCGAUACAGGGAAAUAUGUCACGUGAGAGGCCAGAGCUCAGCAGAAAACCUGGCUGUAAGAAUGAAGAAGGGAGAGUUUCAGAUGGCACUGAUGAAGAGGGGAUUGGCACUGGAACCAGUUGCCAUUCAGGAGUACUGCAGGAUGAAAAACAUUAACUGCUGGCCAUGUGGGUUCGUGAUCCACCCGGAUGCCCCCUGGUUGGAGUCUUCUCCUGAUGGCAUCAUAUUUGACGCAACUGAGAGACUUGUUGAAGUUAAAUGUCCCAAUACCAAAAGCUAUGUUGACUGUAGCUAACUAAAAAUGCAGAGCGGCACAUUAAAGUUAAAAAUGAGCCAUAGCUACUAUUGGCAGGUGCAGGGUCAGCUGUUGGCCACUGGGAUGGAGUGGUGCGAUUUUUGUCGUCUUUGCAGAUGAUGACAUUCUUGUGCAGUGUAUUUACAGGGAUGCUGAGGUGGCUGCAAUUAUUAGGGAGAAGGGAGAUUUUUUUUUUCUUUUUUAAAAUUUUUACUCUCAGUCAGUUCAGUUUCUUAAAUAGUUCUUAAAUCAGUUCUUAUGUUAUGUUGUUGUUCUUGUUGUAUUGUUCAUUUUUAAAAAAUCUAUACAAAACAUGUGAGUGUAUUUCUCCUCUAGAUCUCUAUGAGUGUAGAAGUUUUAUUGUUCAUUUUCACAAAUCUAUACAAAAUGUAGAUGUACAUGUGACGCAACUGAGAGAAGAGCAUAAACUGUGUGCCAGCUGUCUUACUUUAGUGCUCUGUCAGGCUACCAUAGAUGUAAAUGAUGAUUCCUUUUGGCUUGUUGUUAAUAAUUUUUCAGCACACCACUGGAAAUUAUGCAAAUAGAUUAUAUUGUAAAUACAUAAUAUAUUAUAUACUUAUUAAAUUGUAUAUUUUCAUGUUAUUUCUUUUUCUCAAUAACAAAAUUAUGGUAUUGUGUAAAUGGUGAUAGGAUGAUUCUGAAAAAGGAAAAAUAUUCAAUUCAUCGAGCCCGUGCUUUGUGUACCAGUGGUUCGAUCUGGUAGUUGACCAGGAAGCAGGCCACACUGAACAACUGCUUAACACAUCCAUACACAGAAAUCUGUAUGUAAGUUCUGUAUAGAUUUGUAAAAAAUAAAAAAUAAUAACUCUACAUUUGGAGGUGUUUGCAUCAGUACAAGUAUUGUAUAGAUUUGUAAAAAAUAAACAAUUAUAUCUCUACCUGAUCGCUUGAAAAUCUCAUUGUCGCACAUUGACCCAGCAUACAAUGAGGAGACAAAGGUGAUGGGACUGUGGGGUGCAAUGCUAAUCAUGGCUUUGAAGGUGGUGUGAGACUUGUACUUUGAAAAGACUCUGCUCUGAAGAAGGAGAGAGGAAGGUGUCUUGACAAAAAAGCUGUCCAGUCAGGUACCACUUGUGUGUCAGGAAAUGAGAUGAUUUCUGGUGGUAGGUUGGCUUUCACAACUUCUGGUGGUAUCCACAGGUGGAUGGAACCCAGCAGAUGAUACAGGAAGUGUGUCCAUGUCGUAAUUAUUCUGCUGACUGUGGUGCAAUGAAUGAGAAGUCCCUCAUAGGUAGGCCCACAGAGUGUUACAUCAAAAACAGCGACAACUGUGACGUUCGGACCCAGGCUGUGCGACUAGAUGCAGCAUUGGUGGAGGUGAUUCGUACCAUCUUCGUUUUCACAACAGGCUCCACCAGUUGCCAAAAGGCCAGAAAUUGCACAUAUGAUGCAAAU